CGCCUGCGCAGUAGGGGGGGCAGGGCGAGGGGGUCGCAGGAGCCCUCCAGGCUCUGCGAGCGCGGUGAAGGUGGGAGCAAGGCUCUGACGAUUCAGGGGGUUCUGACACAUCUGAAAUCUCUAGUGGCAGGACCAAAUAGGGCUUCCGCACUCGAAGCUACAGCCCACUGAAGAUCCCGGUCAGGACCCAGGAAAGAGUCGCUGUGGGCUGUAGCCAGUCUAACGGCUUGGCCUUUCGCAGCUCUCUGAAGGGAGUCGUGAGGUCUGAGCUCCCGCCACUCCGGGAGGGAGUGGGAUCCAGCUAGGAAGACUCCUGCGGGCAACUGUGCCCGAGGUACCCCAUCAGGACGUAGGCAGGACUUGAAGCCAGCUCACUCUCGCUUGUUCUUUGCCUGUUUUUAUUCCCGAUGACUACUGGGCUCUUGUCUGGGAAGUGAAAAGUGGUUUGUGAAAGGGUGCGACUUGUCCCAGCGGUGGGAAGGCUACCUUUCCAGGAAGCCAUUGAGAGCAUCGUUUUACCUUUCCGUCUUCUGUGACGGAAAUUGGUUGGGGAGUGCCAGUGUCAGUGGGAUGAAAUUGGGGACGGAGAAGGCCUCCUUCACAAAGGCCGCUUUGGUGGGGCCUCUCCGUUUUGCUGUCCUGAACCACUAGGCUUCCGAGGUGUUUCUGUAAAGCCCUGAGGGAGAGGCAGGGAAAAGGACUGGAGGCUUCAGGAGGGCCCCAAUUCUUUCCCUGGAUGAUGAAGUAAUAACAGGACACUCGAAUUCAAAAGAGGAAGGGAAACGUCACAACAUUUAUUACCAAAGAGAGUAGCAAAAUGGAGCUGCAUGUACACAACGCUCUUUGGAGGGAAAGAGAAUCACAGAUUUUAAUCCAUUUUUACAUAUUUACAGCAAGAUGAAGCCACAGCUUUCGACUAUGUUUUUCAUUCAACAAUCACUUUCAAUCAAAUACAUAACAACUUUUAUUUUUCUUUCAGAAACGGUUUGAAACUAACGGGGCAGAGGGAGUUUGACAGAGAGGAGAACAAAUCGCUGACAAAGAACCUUUUACGUUUCAUCAGCGUUGUUAGGACGACAAGCAGGAAUGUCUCAGAUAAUAACUCCCACUUCAAAGAUUUCUCAGCUCAAUAGAAAGCGGACCAUCCUUUUUAUUCAACCACAAGGACUGGCACUAAAGAAGACUCUACUGUUUGAUUUUUUUUUUCACCGUGUUUAUUUUUCCCCUAUUCACUGGGGUACUUGGAUAAAAUAAACAACAAGACAAUUAAGGGAA